CCUACGGGAGGCAGCAGUGGGGAAUAUUGGACAAUGGGCGAAAGCCUGAUCCAGCCAUGCCGCGUGUGUGAAGAAGGCCUUCGGGUUGUAAAGCACUUUCAGUGGGGAAGAAAGCCUUGGGGCUAAUACCCUCGAGGAAGGACAUCACCCACAGAAGAAGCACCGGCUAACUCCGUGCCAGCAGCCGCGGUAAUACGGAGGGUGCGAGCGUUAAUCGGAAUUACUGGGCGUAAAGCGCGCGUAGGCGGUCUGAUAAGCCGGUUGUGAAAGCCCCGGGCUCAACCUGGGAACGGCAUCCGGAACUGUCAGGCUAGAGUGCAGGAGAGGAAGGUAGAAUUCCCGGUGUAGCAGUGAAAUGCGUAGAGAUCGGGAGGAAUACCAGUGGCGAAGGCGGCCUUCUGGACUGACACUGACGCUGAGGUGCGAAAGCGUGGGUAGCAAACAGGAUUAGAUACCCCUGUAGUC
rnacentral:rRNA from 1 species